rnacentral:rRNA from 1 species
CCCUUAGAUGUUCUGGGCUGCACGCGCGCUACACUGACGCACGCAACAGGUGCCUGCUCCGAGAGGACUGGGUAAUCAUUUGAGUGUGCGUCGUGAUGGGGAUAGAAUAUUGUAAUUAUUACUCUUCAACGAGGAAUUCCUAGUAAGCGCCAGUCAGCAGCUUGCGCCGAUUACGUCCCUGCCCUUUGUACACACCGCCCGUCGCUCCUACCGAUUGAAUGCUCAGGUGAGCCAUUCGGACUUUCAUCAUGCUGGUUUCCAGUUUUGAUGAAGGAAAGUCUUGCGAACCUUAUCAUUUAGAGGAAGGAGAAGUCGUAACA